rnacentral:rRNA from 1 species
UACGUAGGGCGCAAGCGUUAUCCGGAAUUAUUGGGCGUAAAGAGCUCGUAGGCGGUUUGUCGCGUCUGCCGUGAAAACCCGGGGCUCAACUCCGGGCCUGCAGCCGAUACGGGCAGACUAGAGUUCGGCAGGGGAGACUGGAAUUCCUGGUGUAGCGGUGAAAUGCGCAGAUAUCAGGAGGAACGCCGGUGGCGAAGGCGGGUCUCUGGGCCGAUACUGACGCUGAGGAGCGAAAGCGUGGGGAGCGAACAGG